rnacentral:lncRNA from 1 species
UUACAGAACCUUGAAAGAGUCAUGAAGACGGUGGGGGAGAGAGAGAGAGAGAGAGUCUUUGGCAGUUCUUCAGGGCCACAAGAGUGGGAGCAGAUAGCUUCUUCCUAUCUGGCAAAGUGGUUGAACCGGCCUUCAAGUGUGCCAAUGUGCAUCCAGCAUGAAGAGAGCGUGGCAAGCUACUCCCCUAUCCUGAUUGAAUACAGAAAUAUUUUAUAAAUUAUCAAGGGCCAUCAAAUAUUACCACAUUCCUUCAUAUCCGUGCCCUUUCAAAAGCAGAUGGAACAUUUUGGAGCAGUAAAUUAAAUGAGUGACUUUUGUGCAGUGCUUUUUAACCCAAAGCAGAGUUGUCUUUCAAGGAUUGUUCAGCAAAGUCUGCAGACAGUUUGUGUCAUCACUGUUUGUGGAACAGUUCUGGCAUCUGUGAGUAGAGGCCAGGAUUCUGCUAAGCAUCCUACAAUGAGCAGGAUAAUUUCCCCACAACAAAGAUGUAUCCCAACUCAAGUGUUCCCUUGGAGCCCUUUGGUGGAACAUUCAGCAAGAAGAAAAUUCCAGAAAUAUUUCAUCCUGGAGUCUCCUGCUUCUCAGAGAAAACAGGAAGGUUGUUGUUUUAAGAGUCACUAUGGACCCAUGAGGCUUCAGCAAGAAUGCAGCAGUACAAGGCAGUUGCUGGGUGAACAUGCUUCAGUGCAAUCGUGCUGCAGUAUCGAAAUCCUUGUCUAA